UAAGGGCAUAUGAUCCUCUUUUAAUGAUAUCAAUGAAUUCAAAUUAUUGGAUGCAAGAUAAAAAAAACAAAAAAUCUAGACUAUCACUAAAAUGCUGCCACAUGGAAAAAUCGGGCUCAUCAAACAAAUUUCAACCAUUUGAAAGUUUUCGACUUAUAUUAAUUCACAUGUUUUUCUCAUAAAUUCAACAUUUUCAUUGUGCUG
rnacentral:lncRNA from 1 species